rnacentral:rRNA from 1 species
AUUGAACGCUGGCGGCAUGCCUUACACAUGCAAGUCGAACGGUAACAGGUCUUCGGAUGCUGACGAGUGGCGAACGGGUGAGUAAUACAUCGGAACGUGCCUAGUAGUGGGGGAUAACUACUCGAAAGAGUGGCUAAUACCGCAUGAGAUCUACGGAUGAAAGCAGGGGAUCGCAAGACCUUGCGCUACGAGAGCGGCCGAUGGCAGAUUAGGUAGUUGGUGGGAUAAAAGCUUACCAAGCCGACAAGCUGUAGCUGGUCUGCGAGGACGAUCAGCCACACUGGGACUGAGACACGGCCCAGACUCCUACGGGAGGCAGCAGUGGGGAAUUUUGGACAAUGGGCGCAAGCCUGAUCCAGCAAUGCCGCGUGCAGGAUGAAGGCCUUCGGGUUGUAAACUGCUUUUGUACGGAACGAAAAGCCCCGGGUUAAUACCCUGGGGUCAUGACGGUACCGUAAGAAUAAGCACCGGCUAACUACGUGCCAGCCGCCGCCGUAA